rnacentral:lncRNA from 1 species
CCUACGCAACUCUUACAAAAGCACUCGACUUGGUGUCCAAUUGGUGUAAAGAAUGGCAAAUGUCAAUUAACACCACUAAAUCUGUAUGCAUGUCCCUUACA